rnacentral:lncRNA from 1 species
AAUAGAGCCAUGAGGAUUGAAGAUACAAAUGGAGGAAGAAUUGGAGGAGGAGUCCAGUGAUAGCUUUCCAAGCUCUGGUGCCUCUCCUCCAUGCUGUUCAUCCUGACCUGCUGAUGGCAUCCAGAAAGACUUCCAGGUCUGUUACCCAUCUCUGCUAAAAGGCAGGAGCUCAGACAGAAGCCUGCUCUGAAGAAGGCAAUGAAACUAUAUGGGCUAUGGUUUGAGAAGGGAAGAAAAGCCCAAGGCAGGCUGCAUGAAAGAAAGAAGUCCAAGAAAAUCAUUAAAGUUGAGGCCAUUGGUGGGCAUGGAGCAGUUCACACUGGGCCCUCACUCAUAAUCAGUGGCUUCAGUGUGGAGGAACACACUGGAAAAGGAACUCGGAUGGAAAGGUAAAGUAAAAGAUGAUGGCAGUUUGGACUAGGGUGGCAGCAAGAAAGAAAGGAUGGUAACUGGGGGAAAUCGAUAGAUAGUAGACACUUGGGCUUGAAGAAUAAGCAGACUAGCAUGUUGCCUCUAGAGUGCAAUCUUUGCAGACGAAACACCUAGAGUAGCGAACCAAAAUAACAAAUAUUCUUGAAGGAAAAUGUU